rnacentral:lncRNA from 10 species
CUUAUCUCUAGCAACCAACUUCAUUUGUAAGAUGUCAAUUACAGGACUGAUUUUUCUGGGAGACUUAGAAUCAUUAGAUAAUGACCAUGAGCCAAAGAUUCACUUUUGAGUUUGGUACGCACUGCUUGAAGGCUGGGUAUGACUAUAUGAUUGUUUUUUUUUUUUUUUCUCUCCCAGUUUGAACACAUUAAUUGGCAGAAGUUUCCCCUGUGAUCUUCCAGUACAACAUUCUUCCUGCAGCCACACCUGACCAGUGGGAGGACUGACUAAAUUCUUCAUCCUCUCCAUCCCAUGCCUUUACGUCUGCUGUGUCUCCCACGUGUUCGUGGAUCGUGCCUGAGGCUGGGACAGACAACUCACAACCAUGAAGAAAAGGCAAAGAGAAUCACAAAGAUGCCAGCCCAACGCUGGGAAGCUACUAGCCUACACCAAUGCUAACAACCAUCCAUUUAUGACUUCUUGUCAUGUGAGGAGAAUGAACCUUCUGUGUUUGGAAAAACGAAGGCUCAGAGACCCUGGAUCACCCAGUGAGUAAGCAGCAUGCCCAGGUCUAGCAUACCAUUCUCCUGCUUUCAGCUCUUGUAUGCUAUCCACAUGCUUACAGCAUGCUUGGACAAUGCAGAAACUCAGCUUUGGUACUUUGGGUAAUCUGUUCAUCUGUGAAAUGGGAUAACUCAUGCUGAUCUACGGACAAAAAUAACUGUAAGGAUGACAUGAAAUGAUGCAGAUAGCAGGCACUCAAAAAACAGAGCUCUAUCAACAUUCCUGCUUCCUCUCAAUGACUGGCACUGAACCGUCCUUAACACCCCAUUUCUAAGCCAAGAGAUUCUUCAAGACCAAGCCAAGUCUGCCGUGCCACUGUCCCCCGCAGGAGCCUCUGGCUUCAUCAAGCCCACAGAUCCACAGUUGCUUUGUUCGCCGAGUGACAUUUCUAUCAGGCACCACCUUGGGCUGGUCACAGAAACUUCGUAGGAGCCAUCAGUCCUGGAGCUCAGUACCCCAGGGUUGAUGCCUUGACAACUGUGUCACCACUCUCUUAUUACCUAUCUGGAGGGUCACCUUUCUGACAGACAGCUUUGAAAAUUCUUUAUUAAACUUUUUUUUUUUUUUAGUAGAAAAGACAGAUUAUAGUUCUGACAUGCUCUACUUAUUAUGACAUGAAACAAUGUUCUUAUUUCUUUUGCUUGGGGAUGUUGAACUGCUGGCUUUGGCCCAUGUGGGGUGUCACAAUGAUGUAUUAGUUAUUAGGUCAGACUUUCCGUAACCUUUACGUAUUCAUUUAUUCACUCACUCACUCACUUACUCACUCACUCACCUAUACAUUUGAAAGUCUACUGUGAACCGGGUCUAACAGAGGUUAGACAUUUAGUGGAUUACACAAAAAAAACAAAACAUUUACCCUCAGUCUUUGAUCUGAGGAUGUCCCAGUUUAAUAGGCAAUGCAAGGGGGCAAAAAAGAUAAAAUUUUACCGCCGUGGUAAGUGAAAUAAAAGACCUAUGUGUUGUACUUGGUAACAUAACUUUGGCAGGAUGGAAACCAGAAUUGGUAGUGUAUCUGUAGAGUGGGGUGCCUGGUUCACUCUGGAUGAUGACAGGUGGUACAGCAGCAGAGGCUGAAGACUAGAUUUUGUUGGAAUACUCUAUAAUCUGUGUAUAGGAGAAGGAAGAGGAGCUGAUCAUUCACAGUUGAAAUAAGCUGGUGACAGGUACUCCUCUCCAAAAGAAGGCCUGGGUGCCAGAUUUUGGGCUCAGAGUGACUUAAUAGUUCUGAUACACAUUUGAUAAAUAAUAUCACAAAGGCACCACUGAACAUCUGAAUAUAUGAACAGAGAGCUAUGAAAAAGGUAGUGACUAACCCUGCCAGGGGAGGUGUAGGAAGUGCCCCAGAAAAUAUGAUAUUUGAAGAGGGCAUUAAGCAUUCAGAGGGCAUUAAGCAUCCAUGAGAAGCGGAAGUAUGGCAUCUGAGCAGAGCAAAGGUGAAGGUGACAUGCUCUGAGAAGGAUGAGGAUUUCUUCAGAACAAAGUAUGAUUGGGGGCUGGGGUGGGAGGUGAAGCUCAGGGCACGUUGGGACCAUUUUAACACCAGGUCAUGGAGUCCAGGCUUUCUCUUCAGUAGGACUUGCUGGGCUGGUGGCUGGUUUAUGCAGAGGAGUGUUAUGAGAGACUGGAGUGCAGACAAAUCUCUCUGCGGGCGGUAUGGGUUUAUGGGAGGGUAGACUGAAAGCUCAGAGACACAAGGCAAAGAAACAGGUCAGGUGGCUACUACAACCACCCAAAAAGAGAAGCUGGGAGACCUUCCCUCAGGUUUCAAUCCAGCUAAGGCCAGUAAAACCCAUGUGUUCAUUUAGGAGACUCUUGUAUAUUUAUUAAAUAAAUAAACAAAAGAGAAAAGGCCAGGGAUCAAUGAGUUUCUUAAACAAAAAUUUAAAAGGCAAAACUAAGAUAUGUUAAAUAACACCUAGUAGAAUUUAAAGUGUACAUACUUUGUGGAAUAAAUGCAUAAAGACAUCAGAAAUAAUCAAGUAUGGAAUAAGGGUAUGGGUCUAGUGAAACAGGGCACUGAAAAAGCUGUAAACUUCCCAGGCAGAAACCUCUGCUCUCAUCCUGAGUCUGUUUUCAUUUAUGUAUCAUGUGAUAUCAUGUAUCAUGUGCAAUACAUGUGAUUAGUAAUUUGACUCACCCCCUCAGUAAAAGUCACAGUUCCUGUUUACCGAGCACCUGCUAGGCUUAAUCAUGCACAAUGCUCAGGAUACCACCUAUAUUAUCUCAGCCAAUCUGAACAACAAUGGCAAAGCAGGCUUUAUCAGGCCUGAGGUUCAGAGAGUUUAGGGAUUUACCCAAGGUUGCGGAGCAGUCAGCAGAAUUGAGAUUUGACCCUGAUCUAUCCAGCUGUGGAAAGAUUCUCUGCGACGGUACAUCCUCUGCGAUGGUGCGCCCUAGUGCCGUAGGAAAGAAGGAAGGAAUGAAGACAACAAAGCAGGAAGGCAGGCAGGAAGAAAAACACCUAUAAAAUCAAGGGCAGUAGAAACCACAGAAGAAAGCCAGAAAACCAGCCAGAUAGAUGGCUGCUGAAACAAUUCAAGAGAGACAUGAUGAUCUACUAUAAUGGCGGUGGAGAACAGAUAGAAAUAAGAAGUCUGUGGCUCAGAGAGACAAAGAGUUUUUUUUAAAAACACACAGCAAACAAGAAGCGGAAUCAGGAUUUGACUCUGUAUCCAACUGACACCCAAACACCAAAUUUUCCAUCAUCUAUGCUUGUUGAAGUUUUUAAUGUAAUAUUCACUCAAUUCCUUUUUAAUAUGCAAGAACUCACAGAAACCCACACAGCCUCCAUAGGAGAACUGGUAUUUAAGCAGUCUCUGCAAAAUCAUAAUAAGGAGGAGGUAAAAGACCAUUCCACUGAAGAGGAGAUGGAAAAAAAGGAGUUUUAGAAAUCUCUCUGCAUGAAUAGAGGAUCUGUUAUUAAAGGCUAUUUUAGGAAGCAAGAAUGGAAGAAUCUGCUCCUCUCCUUUCCCAUUUCCUGGUUCUUGCAUAUCCAUCAAGGAAUCCAUCCAAUGGGCCCUUUGACACAGCUGGGAUAAUGCAGGAAAUCAGCAUUAUUCUUAGCUUACUGAAUGAAUGAUAUGGUGAAGACUCAAAAGCAGAGUCUCCAAGGGAAAUUUAAAAAAGCAUGGAAGUUUUAGGUGGGAGAAUGAAUGACUCAGCAUGCAUGUUAGAAGACUUUCAAGUAUUUGGAGGGUUCUCAUUUGGAAGGUGUAAAACCAGGACAACAACUCUGAAGAAGAUUAGAUUUCCUCUUAGGGUUCAUAUGUAGAAAUCACCAAGAAACAAGAUUCUUCAGAACUGACAUGAGAGAAGAACUUCCUCAAUCACAUGGUGGAAGGCAAUGAGCUGCCUGUAACGGGAAAUACUCCAAUAAAGGUGGUGUGACCACUUGGUGGAGAUGUUGUAGAGAAAAUUCAAGAACUGUAAAGGCCUUUAAAAUCCCUGACAUCGCAGGCUCCUCUGAUUCUGGGAGCUGCACUGAAUCCAAAUGAAUAAUACUAAAACCAUAUUUACCAUAGUCAUUAUCAUGUCUCUAGACAUCUGAGGAGAUGGAUGUUGUCUUUACUGUUUAGAUGGGAGCAUCUAGUCAGGAAUAGAAUCCAAUCACACUAGGAACCAAAUGGACUAGCCACUGAGGUAUAGCAAAUCAGAGUCCCUUAGGGGAGAAGAUGAGUCAUAGAUCAUAAUCCUCACUGGUGUUGUUACAGUCUUCCUGCGCUACAUAGCAUUGAAAUAGGCUGGAAAUGUUCUGUCCUUGGGGUGAUAAAAUAUUCCUUGGUAAGCACACAGAUUCAUUUUCCUAAAGCAAAUGAAUCACUUGUGCUUUUCUUCUCAUAUUUUUUAUCAACAGGGUAAGAACCCUGCCUGUGAAAAAAUCUGUCUAAAAAAUAAGUGUAUAUUUCAAGAGGGACUAUACAAAGAGUAAACACAUGGCAGGUCUCAUGCCAGAGGUCAAACCAGGUUCAACAUAUUUGCAUAUUUUGAUGGGAGCUGUAGAAUAAGGACUACCAAAAUGUACACUUGUUGUGUCAACCCUAAGGGUCUAAAUUUGAACACAAACGGCUUUAGGUAUUGAAGGGAAAACUGUUGCCCAAAGUAUGAAUUCUAUCUAAUAACUCAAUCCUCUAUUGUUUCCCUCUUGGGGUUUAGUAUGCCCACACUGAGAUUUGAAUGCUAAAUCUAGGUCAAACAGAAAUUUGCUCAAGUAUUCCCAGUUCUGAGGACUCGGAAGCUGCUCUGAAAACACUUGUGCUGAAUGACGGCAUUUUACAGAGGCAAUAUGCACUGCAUCUAUUCUUUGAAAAAAUUUUUUUGAGUUCUUUCUCUAUGUCAAGUAUUCUGCUGGGCCUAGGAAUGGGGAGGAUGAGGUAUGGGCCCUUCCUUCAACUAGCUCAUAAUGGUGUGCAGACAGAUUUACAGUGAUAUAAUUCAGUGUUUUUAGUGCUGCAAGAGAGGUAUUUAUAAUGAACAAUGGUUAUGUAAAGAAAGGAAAAAUUGACCAUUUGCUCUGUGUAUUUGGGGGGAAGGUGAGGUUUGUAGGAAAAAGUUUAUCAAAAGAGUUAACAUGUAACCUGUAAGCUGGAUGUUGAAGUUUAUCCUUUCUUAUAUAGGUGAAAGAUGGGACAGUAUUCCAGAGAGAAGGAGGAGAAUAUGCAAAUGUGCCAUUUGUGGAAAAGUGUAUAUAUUUAGGAAAAUGUUAAUAUGGCUAGUCCAUGGGGUUGUACAGGAGACGGGGCUGGGAAGUAGGAGAGGAGAGUGAGUGAUUUUUUUUUACAAACAUGAUCCUUUGGCUAUGGGGAAGAAAAACAAAUACAAAAAGGUUUUAAAGAGGAAAGAGACAUGAUCAGGUUUUAUGAUUUAUAAAUGUAUGUGUCCAUACAGGGAGACUGGAUUGCAAGGGAAAAAAUGGAAUCUGGAAGCAUGAUUAAAAGUUGAUUACAAAAUUUAUAAGUUGGGUAAAAUCUAGUGGUGGUAAGCCUAUGGAGAAACAGAUAUUCUCAUACACUUUUGGUAGAAACGUAAAUUGGUAUAACUUUUUGGAAGACAAUUUGCUAACAUGUAGCAACUUCACUUUUAGCAUUUAUCUUAUAGAUAUAUUCACACACACACAAUGUGACAUUUAGUUGACAACCUAAAUGUCCAUCAAUAGGGAACUACAUUUAUACAAUGUAAUAGGCUGAAAUCAUAAAAGCAGAAUGAGGUGGAGAUUUACAUAUAGAUAUGGAAAAAUGGUGAAGGUCUAUAGUUAAGGGAAAAGUAUGAUUUGCAGUACAGGUUAUAGACAAACAGAUUGGCAGACAGAUAGACAUAAAAUUGGUAACCAUCGUGUUAAAAAUAACUAGAAAAGCUAAGUCAAAACAAACAAACAAAAAUAUAGUUUGAAGGAAGUGGAGACCUUCCAAGUCAUUGAAAAAUUAUAGGUCUAAGAUCCUGGAAAACAAAGAGAUUGGGAGAAACAAGCCUGGUAUUUGAAGUAGCUUUUU